AGCGAACGCUGGCGGCAGGCCUAACACAUGCAAGUCGAACGAAGUCUUCGGACUUAGUGGCGGACGGGUGAGUAACACGUGGGAACGUGCCUUUAGGUUCGGAAUAACUCAGGGAAACUUGUGCUAAUACCGAAUGUGCCCUUCGGGGGAAAGAUUUAUCGCCUUUAGAGCGGCCCGCGUCUGAUUAGCUAGUUGGUGAGGUAAAGGAUCACCAAGGCGACGAUCAGUAGCUGGUCUGAGAGGAUGAUCAGCCACAUUGGGACUGGGACACGGCCCAAACUCCUGCGGGAAGCAGCAGUGGGGAAUCUUGAGCAAUGGGCGAAAGCCUGACGCAGCCAUGCCGCGUGAAUGAUGAAGGUCUUAGGAUUGUAAAAUUCUUUCACCGGGGACGAUAAUGACGGUACCCGGAGAAGAAGCCCCGGCUAACUUCGUGCCAGCCGCCGCAGUAAAAC
rnacentral:rRNA from 1 species